AGCAUAUGCUUGUCUCAAAGAUUAAGCCAUGCAUGUCUAAGUACAAGCCGCUAGACGGCGAAACCGCGAAUGGCUCAAUAAAUCAGUUAUGGUUCCUUAGAUCCACUCCAUCCUACUUGGAUAACUGUGGUAAUUCUAGAGCUAAUACAUGCACUCGAGCCUCGACUGCGCCCGCUUCGCGGUGGGUGCAGAAGAGGUGCUUUUAUUAGAUCAAAACCAGUCGGGAAGUGCGGCGGGCAACCGUUCGCGCGACCCGUACCAAUUUUGGUGACUCUGGAUAACUUCACGCCGAUCGCAUGGCCUUCGAGCCGGCGACGUAUCUUUCAAAUGUCUGCCUUAUCAACUGUCGAUGGUAGGUUACGCGCCUACCAUGGUUGCUACGGGUAACGGGGAAUCGGGGUUCGAUUCCGGAGAGGGAGCCUGAGAAACGGCUACCACAUCCAAGGAAGGCAGCAGGCGCGCAAAUUACCCACUCCCGGCACGGGGAGGUAGUGACGAAAAAUAACGAUACGGGACUCUUCCGAGGCCCCGUGAUUGGAAUGAGUACACUUUAAAUCCUUUAACGAGGAACCAUUGGAGGGCAAGU
rnacentral:rRNA from 1 species